GAUGAACGUUGCGGCGUGUUAACCACAUGCAAGUUCGAGCGAGAAGUUUUGAAAAGAUUUCUUCGGAUGAAAUUUAAAAUGGAAACGCCGACGGUGAGUAACGCGUAGCACUUGCCCAUACAAAGGGAUAGCAUUGGAAACGAAUAUUAAUCCUUAUGAAACUUAACUAGGCAUGCUAGUAGUCAAAGAUUUAUCGGUAUGGAAUGGGCCUGCGUUCUGAUUAGUAGUUGGUGAGGUAACGGCUCACCAAGGCGACGAUCAGUAGCCGACCUGAAAGGGUGAACGGCCACAUUGGAACUGAGACACGGUCCCAACUUCCUACGGGAGGCAGCAUGGGGAAUAUGCCCCAAUGGGGGAAACCCUGAUGCAGCAACGCCGCGUGAACGAUGAAGGCCUUUGGGUCGUAAAGUUUCUGUUCUAGGUGAUGAAAACUGACAGUAACUUAGGAGAAAGCCCCGGAA
rnacentral:rRNA from 1 species